AUUGAACGCUGGCGGCAGGCCUAACACAUGCAAGUCGAGCGGAUGAGAGGAGCUUGCUCCUCGAUUCAGCGGCGGACGGGUGAGUAAUGCCUAGGAAUCUGCCUAGUAGUGGGGGACAACGUUUCGAAAGGAACGCUAAUACCGCAUACGUCCUACGGGAGAAAGUGGGGGAUCUUCGGACCUCACGCUAUUAGAUGAGCCUAGGUCGGAUUAGCUAGUUGGUAGGGUAACGGCCUACCAAGGCGACGAUCCGUAACUGGUCUGAGAGGAUGCACAGUCACCCUGGAACUGAGACACGGUCCAGAAUCCUACGGGAGGCAGCAGUGGGGAAUAUUGGACAAUGGGCGAAAGCCUGAUCCAGCCAUGCCGCGUGUGUGAAGAAGGCCCGCGGGUCGUAAAGCACUUUAAGUUGGGAGGAAGGGCUUACAGCGAAUACCUGUGAGUUUUGACGUUACCGACAGAAUAAGCACCGGCUAACUUCGUGCCAGCAGCCGCAGUAA
rnacentral:rRNA from 1 species